rnacentral:rRNA from 1 species
ACAUCUAAGUACCUGAAGGAAGAGAAAGAAAUUCGAUUCCGUAAGUAGCGGCGAGCGAACGCGGAUUAGCCCAAACCAAUGAAGUUUUCUUUAUUGGGGUUGUGGACAUAUCAUAACGAAGAGGUAUCGUAAUUGAAGAGGUUUGGAAAGACCCACCACAGAAGGUAAUAGUCCUGUAUGUUAAACGAGAAGACUUUAGAUAUGA